CCACACUGGACUGAGACACGGUCCAGACUCCUACGGGAGGCAGCAGUGGGGAAUAUUGCACAAUGGGCGCAAGCCUGAUGCAGCCAUGCCGCGUGUAUGAAGAAGGCCUUCGGGUUGUAAAGUACUUUCAGCAGUGAGGAAGGUGAUGUAGUUAAUAACUGCAUCAUUUGACGUUAGCUGCAGAAGAAGCACCGGCUAACUCCGUGCCAGCAGCCGCGGUAAUACGGAGGGUGCGAGCGUUAAUCGGAAUUACUGGGCGUAAAGCGCAUGCAGGUGGAUGAUUAAGUCAGAUGUGAAAGCCCGGGGCUCAACCUCGGAAUUGCAUUUGAAACUGGUCAUCUAGAGUACUGUAGAGGGGGGUAGAAUUUCAGGUGUAGCGGUGAAAUGCGUAGAGAUCUGAAGGAAUACCGGUGGCGAAGGCGGCCCCCUGGACAGAUACUGACACUCAGAUGCGAAAGCGUGGGGAGCAAACAGGAUUAGAUACCCUGGUAGUCCACGCCGUAAACGAUGUCUACUUGGAGGUUGUGGCCUUGAGCCGUGGCUUUCGGAGCUAACGCGUUAAGUAGACCGCCUGGGGAGUACGGUCGCAAGAUUAAAACUCAAAUGAAUUGACGGGGGCCCGCACAAGCGGUGGAGCAUGUGGUUUAAUUCGAUGCAACGCGAAGAACCUUACCUACUCUUGACAUCCAGAGAACUUUCCAGAGAUGGAUUAGUGCCUUCGGGAACUCUGAGACAGGUGCUGCAUGGCUGUCGUCAGCUCG
rnacentral:rRNA from 1 species